rnacentral:rRNA from 1 species
UGUGGUUAAGCUACAAAGAGCGCAUAGUGGAUGCCUUGGCACAAGAUGGCGAUGAAAGGCGUGGCAAGCUGCGAUAAGCUGCGGUGAGAUGCAAACAAUCUUUGACCCGCAGAUUCCUGAAUGGGGCAACCCGUCCACCGAUGAGGUGGUCAUUCAUGCGUAAAUACAUAGCGUAUGAAAGCUAUACCGGGUGAAGUGAAACAUCUCAGUAACCCGAGGAAAAAAGACCGAAUGGUAUUCCCUCAGUAGUGGCGAGCGAAAGGGGAACAGCUCAAAUUUCACCAUAUGCCUAAAGGCUAUACCUGUUGUAUGGUGGAAAGUUAUAGGACCCGGCCUGGUCCGUGUAUAGACAGACCAGGAAGUUACAAAUUCUUUCCUUAGCAGAAUAAUACUGGAAUGGUUAACCAAAGAAGGUGAAAGUCCUGUAAGCGAAAAGGAAAGGACUUCCGGCUGGGUUCCUGAGUACCACGGGGCACGUGAAACCCUGUGGGAAGUUUGCCCGACCAUGGGCAAAAGCUAAAUACAAUCUUGUGACCGAUAGUGAACUAGUACCGCGAGGGAAAGGUGAAAAGUACCCCGAAAGGGGAGUGAAAAGUACCUGAAACUGUGUGCUUACAAGCAGUAGGAGGACCAUGUUCCUAUUCCAGGCAGCACUCGUUGUUGUCUGGAAGACGGAACGGUCUGACUGCGUGCCUUUUGCAGAAUGAGCCAGCGAGUUACUCGGUGCAGCAAGGUUAAGCCCCGAUGGGGCGAAGCCGCAGCGAAAGCAAGUCUUAAUAGGGCGUUUAGUUGCAUCGAGUAGACCCGAAACUAAGUGAUCUAUCCAUGGUCAAGAUGAAAUUCCGAGAAAUCGGAAUGGAGGUCUGAACACGUUAGUCUCGAGAAACUAUGUGAUGAACUGUGGAUAGGGGCGAAAGACCAAUCUAACUUAGAGAUAGCUGGUUCUCCCCGAAAUAGCUUUAGGGCUAGCCUUGCAUAAUUACCAUCAGGGGUAGAGCACUGAAUGGACUAGCAUCCUUAACCGGAUUGCAAAUCCAAUCAAACUCCGAAUACUGAUGGUUACAACGCAGGAGUCAGCCUGUGAGGGAUAAUCUUCAUGGACAAAAGGGGAACAACCCAGACCGCCGGAUAAGGUCCCAAAGAAUGGACUAAGUGGAAAAGGAUGUGGGAUUGCAUAGACAACUAGGAUGUUGGCUUAGAGGCAGCCAUCAUUUAAAGAGUGCGUAACAGCUCACUAUUCGAUGCAGUCCUGCGCCGAUAAUCUACGGGGCUCAAGUUCAUCACCGAAGCCGCGGAUGCAUUACCGCCCCCUAAAGGGGUUUAACGACGGGAUGCGUGGUAGGGGAGCGUCCUGAUUCGGUUGAAGGCAUACCGAGAGGAGUGCUGGAUGAAUCAGGAGUGACGAUGCUGGCAUGAGUAGCGAUAAUUUCUAUGAAAAAUGGGAACGCCGAAAAUCUAAGGUUUCCUUGAGCAAGGCUAAUCCGCUCAGGGUAAGUCGGGACCUAAGCCGAGGCACUGAAUGCGUAGGCGAUGGACAAAUCCGUUAAUAUUCGGAUACCGCCUGAAAACGUUAUCACCAAUGGGGUGACCCAGGAAGGUAAGAUCAGCUCUGCGACGGUUUGCAGGGUCGAAUCUCUUAGGAAGGCUGUCCAGGAAAAUCCGGGCGGCCGUUAAUUCCAAGGAGUUACCGGGAGUUCCGUUAAUAGCGGGAUGAACUGGUCUAUCCUACACUGGCGAGAAAAACCUCUAGGGAGUUUUUAGGUGCCCGUACUAUAAACCGACACAGGUAGAUGAGGAGAGAAUCCUAAGGCGCUCGAGAGAACCAUCGUUAAGGAACUAGGCAAGUUGACUCCGUAACUUCGGAAGAAGGAGUGCCCAGAAUACAGUGGAAAGCGGAUAGUGAAAAGUGAAAGAGUGUCGAAAGAUACAAUUUCAUUCGUAGCUAUUUGCCGGAAGCUGUCCCUUUUGGGUCGCAGAAACAAGCCCCCGGUGACUGUUUAUCAAAAACACAGGUCUCUGCUAAGGCGAUAAGCCGAAAUAUAGGGACUGACGCCUGCCCGGUGCUGGUAGGUUAUGAGGAGGUGUUAUUUCCGCCGUAAGGCGGAGAGAAGCGCUGAAUUUAAGCCCCAGUAAACGGCGGUCGUAACUAUAACGAUCCUAUGGUAGCGAAAUUCCUUGUCGGGUAAGUUCCGACCCGCAUGAAUGGCGUAACAAUCAGGGGACUGUCUCAACGAUGGACUCGGCGAAAUUGUACUACCGGUGAAGAUGCCGGUUUCCCACGACAGGACGGAAAGACCCCGUGGAGCUUUACUGUGAUUUGAUCCUGAAUUUUGGGUGUGAAUGUAGAGAAUAGGUGGGAGGCUUUGAAGUCCCGACGCUAGUUGGGACGGAGCCGCCAGUGUAAUACCACCCUUUUUCACUUGAAGUUCUAACCUUUAUCCCUAUAUCGGGAUAAGGAACAAGGUCAGAAAGACAGUUUGACUGGGGCGGUCGCCUCCUAAAGAGUAACGGAGGUGUCCAAAGGUUCCCUCGAUCUGGUUAGAAAUCAGAUUAAUGAGCGCAAAGGCAUAAGGGAGCCUGACUGCGAGACAAACAAGUCGAGCAGGUGCGAAAGCAGGGCUUAGUGAUCCGGCGGUUCCGUAUGGAAGGGCCGUCGCUCAACGGAUAAAAGCUACCCCGGGGAUAACAGGCUGAUCUGGUCCAAGAGUCCACAUCGACGACCAGGUUUGGCACCUCGAUGUCGGCUCAUCGCAUCCUGGGGCUGAAGUAGGUCCCAAGGGUUGGGCUGUUCGCCCAUUAAAGCGGUACGCGAGCUGGGUUCAAUACGUCGUGAGACAGUAUGGUCCUAAUCCGUCGUGGGCGUAAGGAUAUUUGAGAGGAGCUGCUCCUAGUA